rnacentral:lncRNA from 1 species
UCCGUGUUUUUCUUGUUAUCAACAGUACAGGCUGACCCUACGAGCAAAGACAGUUUUAGCUACAAAUGUUUAGCGCCUCGUCUUGCAACUAGGUGCAUCUGUUUAAAAUUGGAACCAUUGUCUGAGCUCUGAGGCAGAAAAACUAGAUGGCGUUUAUGUGCGUCUAUGAUAAAUAUUACGAGUGACAAGUUAAAUGGGUGUUUGUUACGUUUAUACCUGUUUAGUGUUUCAAAGGAUUUUUCGUCAAAAAAAUUGCGGGUUUUGCCUUGUCAGCUGCUGAACCAGUAGCCUGCAUUCCUGCUAUCAAUGUACCACAAGGGAUGCUGACACUUUAAGAAGACCAACAGUGACCACUAUGCCCGAGACAUGAACAUCACCAUCCUGUUCAGAGUCUUCGUCUACUAUGUGUUGCUAACCAUCAGCCUUCAGCAUCCCAUGUAUCCAGAUUUUGAAGCUUCUCUGCUUAGCCAACCAUUCUCCAUACACUUCAGCUCUUCAUUGUGGCUUCUCUUCUUUUCUUCUUAGCCUGCCGAAUGCAAACAGGAAUAAAGGUUCAUCUCCAUUGAUGCCAUACCAUGAAAUUGAAAAUGUCAUUGUUAAUCCUGCUGCCAAAUCGUCUUUCCGUACGAGUCAUGCAGUUUUAGAUUUCUCGUGGAAUUUCCUUGCAACAUCCACCCAGGCUUAAAAGGGCAUCCUACCAGUUGUUUGGACCAUACCUGCCUCGCCGUCUUCGCCUCGCCGUCUUCGCCUUACCGUCAUUGCCGCAUAAUCUUUGCUCGCGCCCGGCUUCUCUUCAUCGCCGUCAUCGUGGAACGUCGCGUUUUUGGUAUUUUGUUUUGUUUUGUUUUGUUUUGUUUUGUGUUGUUUUGUAUUGUUGUAUAGUGUAUGUUUAAAGUUAACCCGUUGGCUGCCACCCAUUUUGCUCCCCUUUUUUUUUUAGUUGUAGGGACCGGCGGCGCUGUUCUGCCCCAUGGUUGAUCACCCAUGGGGUGGGGCAGUCGCCUUGCGCCUUAGGGCGCCGUAGGCAAUGCACCAGUAGGGACUUUCCCUUGUCGAUGCGAUGGUGGAGUACCUGGGGUGUGCAUUCCCGUAAAGGUCUCCAUCGUCAAGUCAGCCCGGACUUGUCUUCGGACAAGUCCUCCUUUCAUCGGAUCCAUCUGAAACGAUGCGUAGCGAUUGUAGAAGAACAACCUAUGGGUUGUAAUGGCUUGGCAGCCAACGGGUUAACUUAUGUGUUUGUAUUCCUAUGCAUGUAUGUAUUGUAUUUAUUUUAUAAUGUGUGAUGUAAAACUGUGGUGGAAUUGUGGGUGGAGGUGGGAUAAUACAAAACCAAUUCCAUUUA